UAGGUUUGCGACCGCCGAUCUUCUUUCUUCUGUAUCGCUCCCUUCCAUUUCUCUCUCAAAUCGCUGUUAAAUUUCAUCUUUCUCCGGCUCAGGCCAAAUUCUUUCCCCAGUAUAAGCAAAAUUCCCAACUCUUUCUGUCUUCAGGAAGCCUUUGUCAAGACUCAAGAUCGACAUUUACUGUUACGCAGUAUCAGACUCAGCAGCAGUAAUUGGUCGGUGUCGCCGCCGCCGCCAUCAAGGGUUUCCUCUUCCCUUUUUACCCAAUCUUCUCAGAGAUUGAAGAAAAUAACCUUAGGAUUGUUGAAUUUUGUACCCGAUUGAGAUCAAAUUUCAGUCUCUUUUUUUAUUCUUCUAACUGCAGGCACGAUAUCGGCAUAUUGAUUUUGCUCCAGUCUAUGGCAAUGAGAAUGAGGUAUCAAUUUAAUUGUGAAACAAAGCUUUGGAGGAGAACAUAAUUGUGUAUCUGGAAACUGGUUGUGGAAAGACCUAAAUAGCCGUGUUGCUUAUGUAUGAACCAGUUGAUACUCAAACCUCAGAAGAACAUAUGUGUGCUAAAUCCUGAAGAUCUUUGUGGUAUAUAUGGAUCAAAUUGCUCCCAAUGGAUUAUUACAAUGGAGUAUUAGAAAGAAUGUGGCUAUCAUGAAGCCUCAUGAAGCAGCCAAAUUAGUUGCAGAAUGAGAUUUUUCAUGUAAAAGGACACUCCCCUGAACUGAAAGAGUAAGCCAAUCACCCAAUCUUAUCUUAGACUGAAGCAUUUUCUUUUUGGUAAUCACCUUUAUAAACUAAAAUGUCCACAAAUCUACUUCAAAUUUCAUGUUAUUCUUAGACCUGCAAGACAUCGUGAGUCUCCAAGCUGAUAAACACUCUUUAUCUUUCUUCAUGAUUGUCUUUCAAACUUCGAGUAUCGCAAACCUCAAAUUAAUUGAUUACUUUUGCAACUUAUUUAGAAAGUCUGGUUAGACUGCUUAUUUCACUUUUGUUGUUAUUGAUAAAAGUUGAGUUUGCAAUACACCUGUUACAAGUUUUUCGUCGUUUAUAUUGCCGGGCAUGGUAGGAAAUGUCACGGAAUUUUCUGGCUUCAGCCAUCCGAGACAAGUUCGUCUUAGCAGGAGUAAAACAUUUCUUUGAUUCUGUUGGAAAGUCAAUCUCCAAUGAGAGUUUCGAGGCUUGAUGGAAUAGAGCCGUAGAGAGCAACAGAGAGAGCUAAGGAAACGACCUCGCAACUUUCAAGUUUUGAGCUGCUUAACCAAAACAGAGCUUGCAGCGAUGGAGACAGAAACGACGGCGAUAGAGAUAGUAUUGUUACGAGUUAUGAACUCAUCAAUGUCUUCUCUUUUGUAGCGCUUAAUUACAAUUUGGGUUUGAUAUUUCCCAGAUCUAAGUUGAAUAAAUAUUUCUCAACGGUGAUUGUUUCGACUGUUUUAUGAAUAUGUUGGUUAAAUGUGUAUUUUUCAA